rnacentral:lncRNA from 1 species
GGUGAGACAAGUGGCUUUUUGCUGUUGAUUGUCAGUGUUUUAUUGAAGGCUUGUACUCUACUAAAGAAAGCAAGAUCAGGGCAUAAAGAAACUUCAUCACUCAGUAAAGCUGUUCUGACCCCAGCCAAAACAAGAUGAAAAAUUGACAGGCUUUUGAAACUGCACUCUGUUGUCCAGAAACUGGCUUCUCCAUGAUGACCUACCAGUGACCUUUGUCAUGACACUGAAGGACUACCCUCUCCAGGGGUUGUCUAUGUGCUUUGAGGUACGCUUCAACAUUCUAACAGGCAGACUACAAUUCCGCCUUAGCCACCACUUCUUGCUUGUGAAGAGCCUCAAGGUCAGCUAGAGGUGAAAGACUGGGGCACUCUUAGCUCUUUUCUUAAGAUGUGCACAACUCUGCACACGUGCUUGGCAUUCUAGAUUCCCAGGAAUAGGUCAGAGCUCUUCAGAGCCACCUACGGAGAUACCAUUCCCCAGGUUUUCCUUUUAAAAUUUUUGGUCAGCUUCUUGUUAGCACCAGGUACUAUCUCCACCUCAGUCGGCAUCAAUGUUAAAUCAUUGCCACUGAUUACUUGCAACAAAUUAUGUAAGGACAUGGCUAUUCACGCUUUCCAAAUUGCCAUGGACCUAAAGAGAGGAGAAUGGGAAUAGAGCAAGUUAAAAUGUCACAAAGUUCAUGGUCCUUACCGAUAUUUAGUAAUUUUUUUUCUUUCCCUCUCUCUUCUUUUUUUCUUUUUUUUUUUUUUUUUGAAACAGGAUCUCACUCUGUUGCUCAAGUUGGAGUACAGUGGUGCUAUCUUAGCUCACUGCAACCUCAAACUCCUGGUCACAAGUGAUCCUCCAACCUCAGCCUCCUGAGUAGCUGGGACUACAAGUGCAUGCCACCAUGCCCAUCUAAUUUUUAAUUUUUUGCAGAGACGGGGGUCUCACUUUGUUGACUAGCCUGGUCUCAAACUCCUGGCCUCAAGUGAUACUCAGUCAUUUUUCUUGAAUAAAUAUUUCUUAGAUUGUUGUAAACCUUCAGUGAAUUUCCAAGUUUCUGAAAAAGUUGGUUUUGAUUAUUUUUGCCACUGUUCUUCUUGUUUCUGUGGGGUUGCAGAAUUUUCACAGGUCCUAUUUCACCAUCCUCCAGGUACUUCUCUUAAUUUACUUUUAACAUGUUGUUCUAUUAAGUUUAAAUUGAUUUAAGCUCUAUUUAAACUGUGAUAUUUAGAAUAUGCUAGAAAUUACACAAUUUGCAUCUGCUAUUUAUUUAUUUAUUUAUUUAUUUAUUUAUUUAUUUAUUUAUUUUGAGACAGGGUCUUACCCUGUCAGCCAGGCUGGAGUGCAGUGAUGAGACCAUAGCUAACUGUAGCCUCAACCUUCUGGGCUCAAGCAAUCCUUCCAUCUCAACCUGCCAAUUAGCUGGGCCCAAGAAUGUGCCACCA